rnacentral:rRNA from 1 species
UACGGAGGGUGCAAGCGUUGCUCGGAAUUAUUGGGCGUAAAGGGUAGGUAGGUGGUCUCAUUUGUCUGGGGUGAAAGCCUUGGGCUUAACUCAAGAAGUGCCCCAGAAACGGUGAGACUGGAGUCCUGGAGAGGGUCGUGGAAUUCCCGGUGUAGAGGUGAAAUUCGUAGAUAUCGGGAGGAACACCGGUGGCGAAGGCGGCGAUCUGGGUAGAUACUGACGCUGAGGUGCGAAAGCGUGGGGAGCAAACAGG